rnacentral:rRNA from 1 species
AUGGCGCCAAUCGUCAAGAUGGUGCCACGGAGGAUGGCGACACGGAGCUCGCCAAGACGACGCCCGUCCUUUUCUUCACUAACCUGGUGCCGCAUGGACUUCGCAAGGACGUCACCAGCCGUCUACUUCGUCAUGCUAGAGCAGGAGGACGGAGCCGUGGAGCUCCCAAGGAUGCCGCCGCCGUGCCGCGGUGGAUGGCGGCAAGAGCUCGCCAAGAUGACGCCAAUGCCGACCUCAUCAAGCCAGUGCCAUGGAGGAUGGAGGUCUGGAGCUCGUGAAGACACCGCCUCUGUGCUGCAGUUAAUGGCCACACGGAGCUCGCUAGGAUGA